rnacentral:rRNA from 1 species
GUGGGGAAUUUUGGACAAUGGGCGCAAGCCUGAUCCAGCAAUGCCGCGUGUGUGAAGAAGGCCUUCGGGUUGUAAAGCACUUUUGUCCGGAAAGAAAUGGCCUGGGUUAAUACCCCGGGUCGAUGACGGUACUGGAAGAAUAAGCACCGGCUAACUACGUGCCAGCAGCCGCGGUAAUACGUAGGGUGCGAGCGUUAAUCGGAAUUACUGGGCGUAAAGCGUGCGCAGGCGGCGAUGCAAGACAGAUGUGAAAUCCCCGGGCUCAACCUGGGAAAGGCAUUUGGGACUGCAUGGCUAGAGUGCGUCAGAGGGGGGUGGAAUUCCGCGUGUAGCAGUGAAAUGCGUAGAGAUGCGGAGGAACACCGAAGGCGAAGGCAGCCCCCUGGGAUGACACUGACGCUCAUGCACGAAAGCGUGGGGAGCAAACAGGAUUAGAAACCCGUGUAGUCC